rnacentral:tRNA from 1 species
CAUUAAGAAGCUAUAUAGCAUUAACCUUUUAAGUUAAAGACUGAGAGUCCUCUAAUCUCUCCUUAAUGA